GCCCGGAUGGUCUAGUGGUAUGAUUCGCGCUUAGUAUGUCUCUCUAUUAUCAUCCAAUUCAUCCCUUUCAAUUUACUAACAAUAUCUCCAGGGGUUAACCCAAAGCAUUGACUGCGCGAGGUCCCCGGUUCGAUCCCGGGUUCGGGCC